rnacentral:lncRNA from 1 species
ACUAAAUGCCCUACUUACGGCUAGCAUGCAUUAAGUGUGUUCUGGGAGUGCAUUCUCCCAUUUAGUUUCACGCAAAGGAAUCUACUCCAUAUGCUCCAAGACUACCCUACAAUGAAAAGCAGAGCACAGUCAGGAGGGACAAUUGGAAGUUUUCUUUCAAAAGUGCACUCCUAAUUUGCAUUACAAUGUUAACAUAUGCAUAUGCUGUGAAGGAGCAGAAAAAUUACUUAAGCUGAUGAACUAUGCCUUCUAAUUUUUUCUCAAGGAAAAAGAAUAAAACUUAGAAAAAGCACCUAGUUCUCACUUCUUCUAUGUGUGGACAGUUUAAUGAACCUACAAUUGGGAAAAUUUCACAAAAUGACUGUGUAGAUGCUUCCAGGGAAGCACGUAUGAAUUCAGACAUUAGUAUAGUCCUCUGUGACUCAGACCCCAGUAUGAUGCUUAGUCAAUAGCCCAGUGCUUUGAGUGAUGACAGAAAACAUUUUAGUAUCCAGAAGGAUCCAAAUACCCAAUGGAUCUUAUUUUCCAUGAUCUGAAACAACAGUUUCAUUCAACAAUGGUGAAAGAACUGAACUGAUGUUUUUGUUUUGUUUUAAUAUAUAUAUCAAUAUUGCAGGCAAUUCUGUACAAUACUACAAAAUCACAAAAGGGGAUGAAGUGUGAAAAUGACCUAAAAUGAUGAUCAUAAGCAAAGAGAUGUUAAAAAAAAAGAAAAAAAAAAGUUGUAUCAAGCUAAGGAAAAUGUUCUCUAACUUUCUUGUGCUGCCUUAAGCCAUGUAGUAUUUUCCUUAUGGUUAGGAUCAUGAUCGAGGCUAUGAAAAUAGCAAAGGCUGCAAGUUCCAGACCUGUUGAAAUCUGGUGAUUUAUAGUUGAAGCACUAGCCACUCCAGAAACUGCCCCAGGAGCUAGGUAUUCUGCUUUGUAUCAUGCAAUACCACAGUAUGACAUCAUAUCUUCCAGUAGACAAAAUACAUCACAUGGGGACCUGUCUAUGCUAUGUUUAGCUCCUCGAUAAACUCCGAGGUAGUGGUAAACUGACAACCCGCACUGAAUAAAUGAUAACUUAUUCUCUAAGUUUCA